rnacentral:lncRNA from 1 species
CCUACGUCGUGACCACCACUGUCGCCUAUUGGGCCGCUGUGUGGGCUUCCAUAAUUACCGGCCCUUUCUGUGCCUCCUGCUUCACGCUGCUGGUGUCCUGCUCCACAUCUCAGUGCUGCUGAGCCCUGCCCUGUCAGCCUUGCUGCAGGCCCACUCAGCCCUCUACACAGUGGCUCUCCUGCUGUUGCCCUGGCUCAUGCUACUCACAGGUGGGGAGCUUUCUGAACUUUCUGGGAGCCAGAGACCCUUGCACUGGGCUGGGUAGCAAGGCCCCUUCCUGUGGGAGUGUGCUGUCCAGCUGGUUCUCUUGGCCAAUGCUUUGGGGACCCAGGCAAGGCCAUUUAAGGAGAGAGGGAAGCCUGGUCCCUAGCUGAGUAUGAAGUACUGUACUUUAU